CGUUUAGUUACAAUUAUCCCAAUAUUAUUUUUAAUUUGUGCAUUUGAUAAGGAACUGUAGUGUUUUUAUAGAUUGUGUUUCAUGUUGGGUUUGUAGGAUUAGAUAGAUAUUGUAUAGUUUGUGUUAAAUGUAUUAGAUCAACGGGCUUAAAAGGGCAGAAUAAAUCAACUGUGGUAAUAAGGAAAAAGGAUUGAAAAUGGAUGGGUGGUGAUAUUCAACAAGGAAGGAAAAUGAAGGGAGGAUGGAACAAACGGAAAAUGAAUGGAUUGGCUAGAUUGAAUUUUGGGGAGUCGGCCAUUGAUCAGAAGUAAAUCGGCGUUUGUGCAAGACAGUUGAGCCAAGUUCAAAUUGUGCCUAUAGUGCCUAAAGUGCCGUGUGCAAUCCUGAAGUGAACCACAGUGCGAGGCCAAUAGUUCAGCCAGAUUGCCCCAGCCAACUGUGCACGUUCGGCCAAACCAACGAUUUCGUUGAUAUUGGUCUAACCGUCAAGGACCUCCUCUCAGGCUCCGUAACCGCCGUAGUGAGAGAAAUCUCGGACCGUGAAGUCCUAAAAGUCCAGGAGAACCCUUCUCGGCGUGGCCAAUACGGUCUCGUCCGUGGCCCGUCGAUUGCGUCAACGAAGGGAACGCCGUAGACCCCCAGGCUACCUCCGUAGCCAUCCGCCAUUGCCUUUGACCCAAUCAAGAGGCGCCGCCGCCAUUCAGGUGCGCGAAGACCAAGCCACCAAGUCGCCAUCUUCCGACUCACCACCGCCGAAGCAAACCUCACCUGCAGCAGCGAGCGCUCGCCAACGUCCAGCAA